GACGAACGCUGGCGGCGUGCUUAACACAUGCAAGUCGAACGAUGAAGCAAAGAAUCGAAGCUUCGGCAGAAAUUCAUUUCGGAUUAGUGGCAGACGGGUGAGUAACGCGUGAGCAACCUACCUCUUACAAAGGGAUAGCCUCGGGAAACCGGGAUUAAUACCAUAUAACAUUGCGACGAAGCAUUUCGAUGCAAUCAAAGCUACGGCGGUAAGAGAUGGGCUCGCGUCCCAUUAACCGGAUGGUGAGGUAACGGCUCACCAUAGUGACGAUGGGUAACCGGCAUGAGAGGGUGAACGGUCACACUGGAGCUGAGACACGGUCCAGACUCCUACGGGAAGCAGCAGUGGGGAAUAUUGCACAAUGGAGGGAACUCUGAUGCAGCGACGCCGCGUGAGUGAUGAAGGAAUUCGUUUCGUAAAACUCUGUUCUAUGGGAAGAAAAGGACGGUACCAAAGGAGAAAGCUCCGGCUAAAUACGUG
rnacentral:rRNA from 1 species